rnacentral:rRNA from 1 species
GACGAACGCUGGCGGCGUGCUUAACACAUGCAAGUCGAACGGAAAGGCCCUGCUUUUGUGGGGUGCUCGAGUGGCGAACGGGUGAGUAACACGUGAGUAACCUGCCCUUGACUUUGGGAUAACUUCUGGAAACUGGGGCUAAUACCGGAUAGGAGCUCCUGCUGCAUGGUGGGGGUUGGAAAGUUUCGGCGGUUGGGGCUGGACUCGCGGCUUAUCAGCUUGUUGGUGAGGUAGUGGCUUACCAAGGGUUUGACGGGUAGCCGGCCUGGGAGGUUGACCGGCCACAUGGGGACUGAGAGACGGCGCAGACUCGUACGGGAGGCAGCAGUGGGGAAUAUUGCACAAUGGGGGGAAGCCAGAUGCAGCAACGCCGCGUGCGGGAUGACGGCCUUCGGGGUGUAAACCGCUUUCGCCUGUGACGAAGCGUGAGUGACGGUAAUGGGUAAAGAAGCACCGGCUAACUACGUG